rnacentral:rRNA from 1 species
UAGGGAAUCUUCCACAAUGGACGCAAGUCUGAUGGAGCAACGCCGCGUGAGUGAAGAAGGUCUUCGGAUCGUAAAGCUCUGUUGUUGGUGAAGAAGGAUAGAGGCAGUAACUGGUCUUUAUUGACGGAAUCAACCAG